CAGGUCUUGACAUCUAGUGCAAUCUGUAGAGAUACGGAGUUCCCUUCGGGGACGCUAAGACAGGUGGUGCAUGGCUGUCGUCAGCUCGUGUCGUGAGAUGUUGGGUUAAGUCCCGCAACGAGCGCAACCCUUGUUAUUAGUUGCCAGCAUUAAGUUGGGCACUCUAAUGAGACUGCCGGUGACAAACCGGAGGAAGGUGGGGAUGACGUCAAGUCAUCAUGCCCCUUAUGACCUGGGCUACACACGUGCUACAAUGGGCAGUACAACGAGAAGCAAGCCUGCGAAGGCAAGCGAAUCUCUGAAAGCUGUUCUCAGUUCGGACUGCAGUCUGCAACUCGACUGCACGAAGCUGGAAUCGCUAGUAAUCGCGGAUCAGCACGCCGCGGUGAAUACGUUCCCGGGCCUUGUACACACCGCCCGUCACACCAUGGGAGUCUGCAAUGCCCAAAGCCGGUG
rnacentral:rRNA from 1 species